rnacentral:rRNA from 1 species
AGACUAGAAUGAAUGGAUAUAUUGGGGCAAUGCUUUCUUAGAUUAAUAAUUAAAAUUAAAUUUUUUAGUGAAGAAGCUAAAAUUGUGAUAAGGGACGAGAAGACCCUAUUAAGCUUUAUGUAAUCAUUUUGUUGGGGAAACAGAAGGAUAAAAUUCCUUUAUUUUAAAUUGGUUGAUAAAUGUUGAUUUUUUUAUAAAAAUAAUAGAACAAGUUACUAUAGGGAUAACAGCAUAAUUUUUUUUAAAAGUUCAUAUUGACAAAAGAGAUUAUGACCUCGAUGUUGGAUUAAAAUUAUUAUAUGAUGUAGUUGUUGUAUAAAUUAGUCUGUUCGACUAUUAAAUUUUUAC